rnacentral:rRNA from 1 species
AUGCACGCUGGCGGCGUGCCUCAUACAUGCCAGUCGCGCGAACAGACGAGGAGCUUGCUCCUCUGACGUUAGCGGCGGACGGGUGAGUAACACGUGGAUAACCUACCUAUAAGACUGGGAUAACUUCGGGAAACCGGAGCUAAUACCGGAUAAUAUAUUGAACCGCAUGGUUCAAUAGUGAAAGACGGUUUUGCUGUCACUUAUAGAUGGAUCCGCGCCGCAUUAGCUAGUUGGUAAGGUAACGGCUUACCAAGGCGACGAUGCGUAGCCGACCUGAGAGGGUGAUCGGCCACACUGGAACUGAGACACGGUCCAGACUCCUACGGGAGGCAGCAGUAGGGAAUCUUCCGCAAUGGGCGAAAGCCUGACGGAGCAACGCCGCGUGAGUGAUGAAGGUCUUCGGAUCGUAAAACUCUGUUAUUAGGGAAGAACAAAUGUGUAAGUAACUAUGCACGUCUUGAUGGUACCUAAUCAGAAAGCCACGGCUAACUACGUG